rnacentral:rRNA from 1 species
GUGCCAGCAGCCGCGGUAAUACGAAGGUCCCAAGCGUUAUCCGGAUUUAUUGGGUUUAAAGGGUGCGUAGGCGGGCUAUUAAGUCAGUGGUGAAAGCCCCAAGCUUAACUUGGGAACUGCCAUUGAUACUGAUGGUCUUGAGUACAUUUGAGGUGGGCGGAAUGUGUCAUGUAGCGGUGAAAUGCUUAGAUAUGACACAGAACACCGAUUGCGAAGGCAGCUCACUAAACUGUAACUGACGCUGAGGCACGAAAGCGUGGGGAGCAAACAGGAUUAGAUACCCUGGUAGUCC